CAAGCUCACACCAUUCUACAAGUCUGACCCAGUACCUGAAUCCAUGAGUCGAGUAGAAUUAUUCGAUAUCUACAUUGUAUAUGAAACAAAACAAUGCUAAUUAUAAAACGUGUAGAAGUUAUUUUAACAUUUUCUUCACUUAAAUGUGCAAUUGCACUUGUUUAUGGUGCACGGAAAGGGUAGAUCCAUUAUCUGUCUGCUGCCAUCUAGUAUAUGCUAAAUGUAUUU
rnacentral:lncRNA from 1 species